CCUACGUGAGGCUGCAGUGAGGAAUAUUGGUCAAUGGCCGGAAGGCUGAACCAGCCACGCCGCGUGAAGGACGAAGGUGCCAAGCAUUGUAAACUUCGUUUGUCAAGGGACAAAAUCAGGCUCGAGACCCUGACCGAGGGUACUUGAAGAAAAAGCAUCGGCAAACUCCAUGCCAGCCGCCGCGGUAAUACGGGGGAUGCGAGCGUUAUCCGGAUUGCUUGGGUUUCACGGGUGCGUAGGCGGACUGUUAAGUCAGCGGUAAAGGCCCGGGGCUCAACCCCGGCGAGCCGUUGAAACUGGCUGUCUUGAGAUGUCGAGAGGUAUGCGGAAUGCGCAGUGUAGCGGUGAAAUGCUUAGAUAUUGCGCAGAACUCCGAUUGCGAAGGCAGCAUACCGGCGGCGAUCUGACGCUGAGGCACGAAAGCGUGGGUAUCGAACAGGAUUAGAUACCCCUGUAGUC
rnacentral:rRNA from 1 species